CAGAGACAGACAAUGGAGGGCAGCAACAGAGACAAUGGAACAAAGCAACAGACAACUGAGAUGGAAGAGUUUUGGGUGAAAUCCAUUGAACAGUCCUUAUGAAAAGAAAGAGAUGGACACGUUGAAUGUCAGAUUCAUGUCUUGAAGGGCGAAACUCGUGAAGAUCUCAUUAAAACAUAUGUUGAUGUACUGCAUCUCCAGAGCAGAGGCUACUUUGGUUUCCUGGAAGUGCAGAUCACCCAAUCUUGUUCAGUGGAGAUGUGAGUGUGGAAACAAAGCGUCUGGAGCUUCAAGUGGUAAUCCUGAGAAAACAAGAGCCAGUUCUUGUCCUGCUUAUGUUUCGUUUCAGUUUGCCACAGAUAGGAGUGUUUCUGGAUGCACAGUAAGGUUAAUGUCUGAGCACAGUGGACAUGACAUUUCAAAUUCACAGGAAGAUGGAGUGAAUCUUGUGGAUGAAGAUUUACUGGAUUACAUACAUGAGUGUCUCACACAGGGACUUUCAAAUUUAGAGAUACUCUUAAAAACUGUGAAGUGGUCUCGUACAUAUGGCAAAAAUUGCCUCCAUGACAGAAGAUAUUUUCUCCCUCAAAAGGACAUUGCUGGAAUCUGUGCUGGUUUCAAUGUGCAGUAGGCCCUGUAGUUUUUUAUUUUUGUGUGUGUGACUGAAUAUAAAUGAAUAAGUAGGUUA